CCCUUUUUUUUGUGUGCACCAUAUACCUCUUCAAGUAUUCUUUUUCUGAAAUUUCAUUAAUACUCCUAUCGUAUUAGUGUUCUCGUCCCUACAUUUCAAUCUCCUAACUAUCGUCUAUCUCUUUUUCAUCCAAGCAUCACUUAAUUUAAACUCUAUAAUCUUCAUCCAACUCACCGUGUCUCUUCACCUCUUCCACUAUUCGCCAAAAAUAUUUUUUACUUUGAUUCCAUCGACACCAUAAUCAUAGUCUCACCAUCUCCCAAAAAUACAACCACUUUCAAUUUUGAAUCACAAUCCACCUUCAAUUUCAAAUUUUAAAAUCAAUUAUGCGUGGUGGUAUUGUUCCGACGUGGUGGGGUGACUUGUCGGCCUUGGUGAGUUUGUCAACAUCACUCAUACGGUGGUUGAAUAAGUGUUUGUGAAGCUGUUUGUUGGUUUAGAUAACAUAUAUGUUAGUCAGUAUUUAUUAGUGACCCGAUAUAAUUUACUCCAUCCGUUCCUAAAAGAUGUAUGUUUUGAAAAAAAAAAUUGUUUCAAAAAGAUAUAAAAGUGUUUAUUGAAUUUCUAUUGACUUAAAGUUAUGGAAAAUUG
rnacentral:lncRNA from 1 species